rnacentral:rRNA from 1 species
AACGCGAAGAACCUUACCUACUCUUGACAUCCUGCGAACUUGGUAGAGAUACCUUGGUGCCUUCGGGAACGCAGAGACAGGUGCUGCAUGGCUGUCGUCAGCUCGUGUUGUGAAAUGUUGGGUUAAGUCCCGUAACGAGCGCAACCCCUAUCCUUAUUUGCCAGCACUUCGGGUGGGAACUCUAAGGAGACUGCCGGUGACAAACCGGAGGAAGGUGGGGAUGACGUCAAGUCAUCAUGGCCCUUACGAGUAGGGCUACACACGUGCUACAAUGGCCGGUACAGAGGGCCGCGAACUCGCGAGGGUAAGCAAAUCUCAGAAAACCGGUCGUAGUCCGGAUCGCAGUCUGCAACUCGACUGCGUGAAGUCGGAAUCGCUAGUAAUCGCGAAUCAGAAUGUCGCGGUGAAUACGUUCCCGGGUCUUGUACACACCG